GACAGGGUCUCACUCUGUCACCCAGGCUGGAGUACAGUGGCUCGACCUCAGCUCACUACAACCUCUGCCUCCUGGGCUCAAUCAAUCUUCCCACAUCAGCCUCGUAGCUAGAAAUAGUAUUACGGUCACAUGAUUCAAAAUUCAAUAUAUAAAAGGAUGUAAAGUGAAAAUUCUUUCUCCCAUCCUCGUCAUUCCCAAGCUACUCAAAAAGCUCCAGAGAGAGACAAGGAGAUGAGGAGACAAGCAGACGAACAGCGGAACAAUGCAGCAGAGAAAGAGAGAAGAGAAGGAACGUCUGAACGUCGAGAGGAGUUCGGCUGCUGGACGGCCAAACUCCAGGGGAAGAUCAUCUUCCCACUCCAUUCCCCCUCCAGCUCCCCAUCCAUCCCACUGAGAGCCACUUCCACCACUCAAUAAAAGCCCCACAUUUAUCCUUCAAGUCCAUGUGUGAUCCAAUUCUUCUGGGAUGCUAAACAAGAACCUGGGAUACAGAAAGCUGUCACACUGGCCCUCUGCCCUUGCAGAAAGGCAGAGGGGCCCUGAGCUGGUUGAUACUUAAGCUGUCUGUGGAUGGCAGAACUAAAAGAGCAUUGG
rnacentral:lncRNA from 10 species